rnacentral:rRNA from 1 species
AUUGAACGCUGGCGGCAGGCCUAACACAUGCAAGUCGAGCGAGCGGCGGAAGGGUGAGUAAUGCCUGGGAAUUGCACAGUCGAGGGGGAUAACAGUUGGAAACGACUGCUAAUACCGCAUACGAUUGGACCGCUCAGGUGGGAUUAGCUAGUUGGUGAGGUAAUGGCUCACCAAGGCGACGAACCCUAGCUGGUGUGAGAGGAUGACCAGCCAGACUGGAACUGAGAAACGGCCCAGACUCCUACGUGAGGUAGCAGUGGGGAAUAUUUCUCAAUGGGGGAAACCCUGAUGCAGCCAUGCCGAGUGUGUGAAGAAGGCCUUCGGGUUGGAAAGCACUUUCAGCGAGGAGGCGUUACUCGCAGAAGAAGCACCGGCUAACUCCGUGCCAGCAGCCGCGGUAAUUC